GAAGAAUCAGUGCUUGGAGGAGCUGCUUAUAGAAAAAUUGAGGAGCAUCUACUGCAGAAGACCUCAAUAAUGCAUAAGAACAUCUGGAGGUGCGGUAAUUUCGGCUAUCAGAGAUAAGAAUUGACACAAAACAGUCUCUAGGUUGAGACCUGAGGAUGGAGGCAAUAAGAAAAGCUCUUGAG